rnacentral:rRNA from 1 species
CCCUGGCUCAGAUUGAACGCUGGCGGCAGGCCUAACACAUGCAAGUCGAGCGGAUGACAGGAGCUUGCUCCUGAAUUCAGCGGCGGACGGGUGAGUAAUGCCUAGGAAUCUGCCUGGUAGUGGGGGACAACGUUUCGAAAGGAACGCUAAUACCGCAUACGUCCUACGGGAGAAAGCAGGGGACCUUCGGGCCUUGCGCUAUCAGAUGAGCCUAGGUCGGAUUAGCUAGUUGGUGAGGUAAUGGCUCACCAAGGCGACGAUCCGUAACUGGUCUGAGAGGAUGAUCAGUCACACUGGAACUGAGACACGGUCCAGACUCCUACGGGAGGCAGCAGUGGGGAAUAUUGGACAAUGGGCGAAAGCCUGAUCCAGCCAUGCCGCGUGUGUGAAGAAGGUCUUCGGAUUGUAAAGCACUUUAAGUUGGGAGGAAGGGCAUUAACCUAAUACGUUAGUGUUUUGACGUUACCGACAGAAUAAGCACCGG